GCCCCGGUAGUGUAGCGGUUAAGCACCUGGCCCUCUCAAGGCCAUAACACGGGUUCGAGUCCCGUCCGGGGCA
rnacentral:tRNA from 1 species